rnacentral:lncRNA from 1 species
AACUUUUGGAUUAAAUGUUAUUCCACCUACCACCACUCAACCCAAGUGGGCUACUAUCGUUGUAGCCCUAGAACUCCUUCAUCUAAGGUCUACAAAUUUAAAAGCACCAACUCUUUGGUGCUUUGUUUUUAAUAUUAGAGCCUCCGAAUUGACGAUCCAUACCAUUAAAAUAAUUUAAAGUUUGUUUAAAAUAUCUAAAAAUCAUAUUUUGUUAUUAUUUUCGAACUUAUAAGAAAGCCAAUCAAAUGGUAUAAAAUAAAUAGUCAAAAUUUUAACGAUCUUCUAAAAUAAGGUGAUAGGGUUCUUAAAUUCAAGAUCAAAAUUAAUUUUUUUUUUAGAGAUAGGUAGCACGCUAGCCGCUUCGUUUAUUUCAUUUAGAAAUAAACUUAGCUAGAAAUGUGAAUCAACUAGGAUUCGAACUUGGGUCUCAGGUACCAACCACCAAGCCUUUUGCCACUUGCUCUAAGGACGAUCGGUUCAAGAUCAGAAUUAUUGAUCUUAAUCUAUGUAAUGAAUAGAAUUUUCUAUCAAAAAAUUUAACUGAUUUUGAUUCUUCCACAUUUUUAACUAGGAAAUGCGCCAUAUUAUCAUUAAAAAUAUUAACUUUGACGCCCUUUAAUCGUUAUUAAUUUUGAGACCAUUUGAUCGUGAGGUAUAUAAUGUCAAAAAUUAUGAAAUUUGAUUUUCUAGAUGUUUAAAUGCUCAAAAGUAUAUAUAUAUAUAGAGAGAGAGAGAGUCCGGCUACUAUACUCUUAUGAGCACGAUCGCCUUCGUACUCAUAAGUCGNUAUAUAUAUAUAUAUAUAUAGUCCAGCUACUAUACUCUUAUGAGCACGGUCGCCUUCGUACUCAUAAGUCGUUUUCGAUGAUAAAGCUUCUGAAUCGACGAUCCAUACCGUUAAACAUUUUCUAGAGCAUUUAAAAUUUUUAGAAAUUAAAUUUUAUAAUUUUUUGAUAUCAUUUACCUUACGAUCAAUAGCUCACAAAAUUGAUAAUUUUUAACGGCCUAUAUGUGAUACUUGCUAGUUUAACGGUGUAAAAGAAUCGGAAUAGCUUGAAUUUUUGAUAAAAAAUUCUAUUCAUUACCUAGAUAAAGAUCAAUAACCCCGAUCUUAAAUUGAAGGAUCCAAUCAUUCAUUUUUAGGACGUCGUUCGACUUUGACCGUUCAUUUUAUAUCCGCUUGAUGAACUUUAUAAUGAUUUCGAAAAGUUACGAAAUUUAUUUUCUAGAAAUUUCAAAUACUCUAAAUCAUGUUUAACGGUGUGGAUCGUCGAUUCAGAAGCACGAACAUCGAAAACAACUUAUGAGUACGAAGGGCUCUAUACUCAUAAGAGGAGUUGAGCUAGAAUACUAUCGGUAGCAAACAGGCUCCGUUGCCACCCAUUUGUUUUCGAUGAUGGAGCCUCCAAAUUGGCGAUCGGCAUCAUUGAACAUGAUCUAUACCACUUGAAAUGUUUAGAAAUUAAAUUUCAUACAUUUUCGAUGUUAUUCUCUUAUCUAUCGAAUGGACACAAAAAUGAACGGUUGAAAAUAAAUAUUCUUUAAAAAUGAUGAUAGAAGUCUUGUAGUCAAAAUCAAGAGUAUAGAUCUUAUUUUAAAUAGCUUAAAGAAUUUUCUAACAAAAAUUCAAUUGAUUUGGAUAUCUUUACGCCGUUAAACAAGAAAACACCUCAUAUCGACCAUUAAAAUUAUAAAGUUUGAAACCCUUUGAUCAUUAGGCAAAUGAUGUCGAAAAGAUUUCAAAUUUAAUUUCUAAGCACUUCAAGUAGUAUAGAUCAUGUUCAACGGUGCCUAUCGUUGAUUUGAAGGCUCUAUCAUCGAAAACAAAUGGAUGGUAACAGAGUCCGUUUGCUAUCGAUAGUAUUCUAG